rnacentral:rRNA from 1 species
UACAGAGGGUGCGAGCGUUAAUCGGAAUUACUGGGCGUAAAGCGUGCGUAGACGGUUAUUUAAGUCGGGUGUGAAAGCCCCGGGCUCAACCUGGGAGGUGCACUCGAGACGGGCGGGCUGGAAUCCGGAAGAGGAUGGUGGAAUUCCUAGUGUAGCGGUGAAAUGCGCAGAUAUUAGGAGGAACACCGGUGGCGAAGGCGCCACUCUGGGCCGAAACUGACGCUGAGGAGCGAAAGCAUGGGUAGCAAACAGG